rnacentral:rRNA from 1 species
UACGUAGGUGGCAAGCGUUGUCCGGAUUUACUGGGCGUAAAGCGCGCGCAGGCGGACUGAUCAGUCUGGGGUGAAAUCUCACGGCUCAACUGUGAGCGGUCCCUGGAUACUGUCAGUCUUGAGAGACCUAGAGGAGAGCGGAAUUCCCGGUGUAGUGGUGGAAUGCGUAGAGAUCCGGAAGAACACCGGUGGCGAAGGCGGCCUGCUGGGCAGUUGCUGACACUGAGGCGCGACAGCGUGGGGAGCAAACAGG